rnacentral:lncRNA from 1 species
AUUUAUAUAGUGUAUAUUGAGAAGCCUGAAUAUCACGAACCUAAGGAGUAUCAUAUGAAAACCCGUAUGUCUCUUCUCGACAGUGAGGAGGCUGCAAAAGAGACAUUGAUUGCCGUCAGUGGACUCUCAACAAAGCUUACUGCUAAGCAGGUUCUGAUGGUGUUUUAUACUUAGUUUGGAAGACUAUUGGUAUUCCUUAAAAGUAAUGGUGG